rnacentral:rRNA from 1 species
GACGAACGCUGGCGGCGUGCUUAACACAUGCAAGUCGAACGAUGAAGCCGGAGCUUGCUCCGGUGGAUUAGUGGCGAACGGGUGAGUAACACGUGAGCAAUCUGCCCUUGACUCUGGGAUAACUGCGGGAAACUGUAGCUAAUACCGGAUACGACACCUUGGGGCAUCCCAGGGUGUGGAAAGAAUUUCGGUCAAGGAUGAGCUCGCGGCCUAUCAGCUAGUUGGUGAGGUAAUGGCUCACCAAGGCGACGACGGGUAGCCGGCCUGAGAGGGUGACCGGCCACACUGGAACUGAGACACGGUCCAGACUCCUACGGGAGGCAGCAGUGGGGAAUAUUGCACAAUGGGCGAAAGCCUGAUGCAGCAACGCCGCGUGAGGGAUAAAGGCCUUCGGGUUGUAAACCUCUUUUAGCAGGGAAGAAGCGAAAGUGACGGUACCUGCAGAAAAAGCACCGGCUAAUCACGUGCCAGCCGCCGCGGUAA